rnacentral:rRNA from 1 species
GACGAACGCUGGCGGCGUGCUUAACACAUGCAAGUCGAACGGAAAGGCCCUGCUUUUGUGGGGUGCUCGAGUGGCGAACGGGUGAGUAACACGUGAGUAACCUGCCCUUGACUUUGGGAUAACUUCAGGAAACUGGGGCUAAUACCGGCUAGGAGCUCCUGCUGCAUGGUGGGGGUUGGAAAGUUUCGGCGGUUGGGGAUGGACUCGCGGCUUAUCAGCUUGUUGGUGGGGUAGUGGCCUACCAAGGCUUUGACGGGUAGCCGGCCUGAGAGGGUGACCGGCCACAUUGGGACUGAGAUACGGCCCAGACUCCUACGGGAGGCAGCAGUGGGGAAUAUUGCACAAUGGGCGGAAGCCUGAUGCAGCAACGCCGCGGGCGGGAUGACGGCCUUCGGGUUGUAAACCGCUUUCGCCUGUGACGAAGCGUGAGUGACGGUAAUGGGUAAAGAAGCACCGGCUAACUACGUG